UGCAGUCGAGCGGAACGACUUAACUGAACCUUCGGGGAACGUUAAGGGCGUCGAGCGGCGGACGGGUGAGUAAUGCCUGGGAAAUUGCCCUGAUGUGGGGGAUAACCAUUGGAAACGAUGGCUAAUACCGCAUAAUAGCUUCGGCUCAAAGAGGGGGACCUGCGGGCCUCUCGCGUCAGGAUAUGCCCAGGUGGGAUUAGCUAGUUGGUGAGGUAAGGGCUCACCAAGGCGACGAUCCCUAGCUGGUCUGAGAGGAUGAUCAGCCACACUGGAACUGAGACACGGUCCAGACUCCUACGGGAGGCAGCAGUGGGGAAUAUUGCACAAUGGGCGCAAGCCUGAUGCAGCCAUGCCGCGUGUAUGAAGAAGGCCUUCGGGUUGUAAAGUACUUUCAGCAGUGAGGAAGGUGGAGUCGUUAAUAGCGGCCUCAUUUGACGUUAGCUGCAGAAGAAGCACCGGCUAACUCCGUGCCAGCAGCCGCGGUAAUACGGAGGGUGCGAGCGUUAAUCGGAAUUACUGGGCGUAAAGCGCAUGCAGGUGGUUCGUUAAGUCAGAUGUGAAAGCCCGGGGCUCAACCUCGGAAUUGCAUUUGAAACUGGCGGACUAGAGUACUGUAGAGGGGGGUAGAAUUUCAGGUGUAGCG
rnacentral:rRNA from 1 species